AAUAUUUAUUUUUUUCGCUUCACUGAAAUGUAAUUUCGUUGAAUUAAAUCUUAUUUUGAACGUAAAACUUUAUUUUAUUUUACUAUUAUUCAAUUUUUCUCGUGACAAUGCUAUUUCUCACCUACUCAGGUGUCUUCUUUUGCCGUCUAAAUUCUAAAUAUCUAAUUUAGACAGUCCAUGACAGACAUAUUAUUAGUAUUAGUAAAAUUAUUUAUGUAACGGUUUCACAGCUGAGCCAAAAUUGCCAUGAUUAAUAAGAUAAAUAACGUGUGUCUGCAAGUAGCAGUACACAGAGGGAGUUCGAAUAGAAUUUUUAUCGAAUUUGUUGGUUAUUGAUGAUAUAUUGAAUAAUUUAUUUGCAAGCAAUCACUAUCCAAAAUCUAUUCACAGUUUUUUGUUGUUUUUUUUUUACCUUUCCACUCCUUUCACAUGACUAAUUGUACAUAUUUAAUUUUCUUCAUGAUUGAUGUCAUGAUUUCCAGGAAGAAAAAAAAAAGCUCCACCCUUAAAUAAUUAAAGCAUGAUAAAAGUAGGUAUUUCUCAACCAUAAAAAUAAUGAUAGCGUAGGGAGCAAUCUGUAUUUCACUUUUGUUUUACAUGAAAAAUAUAACUAGUUAUGGCGAACCUCUUAAAUCCAGUCAUCUGCUCGUAUUAAGUAUUAAAACAUGAACCCUUGGGAAUUUGUUAUGGAGAAAUAUAGUACAGUCCAGUAGACUAAAAUUGAGUAGGAUUUUACUUUCGAAAUGGACAGUCCAUCAUGCACAUGCAAAGAGCUUCUUGCAGCGUUAACAGAGUAAGGAAGCUGCCCUCUAACUCUGUAAUUAUUCAUGUAAUUCAUCAUUUCUAAAAACAAGUCUCUGUGGGUGACUUGCCAUGAGUUGGGGGGGGGG